AUAGUACUCCUCCGUCCAGAAAUACUUGUCCUAAAAAUGCAUAUAAAGGAUGUAUCUAUAACUAAAAUAAGUCUAGAUUCAUUCAUUUCUAGGACAAGUAUUUCCAGACGGAGUGAGUACUAU
rfam:Hordeum vulgare subsp. vulgare, WGS project CAJW01000000 data, contig: morex_contig_47835